GGAUUUGAUCAUGGCUCAGAAUCAACGCUGGCGGCGUGCCUCAGACAUGCAAGUCGAACGAUUAAAGCUCUCUUCGGAGAGUGUAUAGAGUGGCGCACGGGUGAGUAACACGUAAGUAAUCUACCUCGGGGUGGGGAAUAACGUUCGGAAACGAACGCUAAUACCGCAUAAUGCAGCGGCUUCUUAUGAAGACAGUUGUUAAAGCAUUUAUGUGCCUGAAGAGGAGCUUGCGGCAGAUUAGCUAGUUGGUAAGGUAAUGGCUUACCAAGGCAACGAUCUGUAGCCGACCUGAGAGGGUGGUCGGUCACACUGACACUGAAUAACGGGUCAGACUCCUACGGGAGGCAGCAGUCGGGAAUUUUGGGCAAUGGGCGAAAGCCUGACCCAGCAACGCCGCGUGAAGGAUGAAGUCUUUCGGGAUGUAAACUUCGGAAAUAUAGGAAGAAUAAAUGACGGUACUAUAUCUAAGGUCCGGCUAACUACGUGCCAGCAGCCGCGGUAAUACGUAGGGACCAAGCGUUGUUCGGAUUUACUGGGCGUAAAGGGUGCGUAGGCGGCGUGAUAAGUCACUUGUGAAAUCUCCGAGCUUAACUCGGAACUGCCAAGUGAUACUAUUGUGCUAGAGUACAGAAAGGGUAACUGGAAUUCUUGGUGUAGCGGUGAAAUGCGUAGAUAUCAAGAGGAACACCUGAGGCGAAGGCGAGUUACUAGGCUGAUACUGACGCUGAGGUACGAAAGCUAGGGGAGCGAACGGGAUUAGAUACCCCGGUAGUCCUAGCCCUAAACGAUGAUUGCUUGGUGUCUGGAGU
rnacentral:rRNA from 1 species